ACGAGCAAUGAUUAAUUUAUGAAUCUCUCGUACGGAUUUAGACUUUCAAAUAGAAAACGACCAGCAUAAUAUAGAACGAAAUACGAUUCUCGGAGUCUGAGUUAUCAGACUAACAGUGUACUGACGUAAGACCAACAGAGAAUUGUACUUGGUCAUCCAACACCGUUCUUAUGAGACCGUAACCAUCUUGUCAGGAACAGAGGAACUUCAAAUAGUUUUCCAGUUGCCAGUUUCCAGAUGUCACCAUAACGUUCGAUGACUGUCCGUUUUAUUGCUGAUACCGAUGUUCGAAUAUGAAUAUCGAGUGCGUGAACGUAAGCGAUUGAGAAAUCGAUUAUCAAUCGAUGAAAAACUGGUCACCGAUGAUUAUAAACAAGGAAAUCAACUCGUUUCUUGUUUUUUACUGUUUAUCUGUUACGAGUAAAGCCAGUGCCACACAAACUGAAUUAUUAUCACAGAUACAAGAGAAAAAAACACCUCUGUGAAAAAGAUGUAUUUUAAUAUUAACACAAUGUGUAAUUAAUUAAAAGUGAUCGUAUUAUAAUGGAAAUAAGAAUUACCAUGAUUAGAAUACUAUUAGAAUCUUUGAAGCUGUCAGGUCCCAAAUAGCCUGUCGAUGACAGUCAAACGACGGAUGUGGUUUAAAUUCCGAAUCGUUAAAUCUGACUUUAGAAAAAAUUUAGAUGCCUUGACGUCACAAAUAUAUGAGUAGUUGGUUCGUUUUUUCAAGAUAUUUCAUUUUCUUUGACGCCUAUAGAAGGCCAGCCAUUACGUGGAGGCUACGUAAUAGACGAAUGAAAGAAGAUUCUUACAAGUGUCAUUUUUCUUACUCUCGGUUCUAGCCUUUGACCCAUCGAAAGAUUUAAAAAAGUGUUUGAGAAUCUUGAAUAAAAAUUGUUAACCAAAGUUCAAAUUACAUU